UACGUAGGGUGCGAGCGUUGUCCGGAAUUAUUGGGCGUAAAGAGCUUGUAGGUGGUUUGUCGCGUCUGCUGUGAAAAUCCGAGGCUCAACCUCGGACUUGCAGUGGGUACGGGCAGACUAGAGUGUGGUAGGGGAGACUGGAAUUCCUGGUGUAGCGGUGGAAUGCGCAGAUAUCAGGAGGAACACCGAUGGCGAAGGCAGGAUCUC
rnacentral:rRNA from 1 species